GUAACUCUAUCUGAUAGCCUUGUGGAAUCAGCUAUACUAUAGUACUCUACGUUGCUAAGCACCACUAUAAAUAAUAUUAUAAGUGCCAAACUGGAAUUAUGGUUUUUUCUUGUUCUAUUUGUGCGCCACUGAAAAUCUUUAACGGCGCUGUAAUUAGAAGAAAGACGGUAUAGUAAGUGUGUUUGUUUGUGUGUGUAUUUUCACUUGGAUGCCAUUGCACUGCGUUUACAGCUAGCUAGGAUAGAUAGCCUCAGCAAAAAAAGUUAUUUGUUUUGACAGAUUUUCAAAUGGUAAAAAGCUUAGUUGGGUAAAAGCUAAGAAGUAUAAAUUAAACCUUGUACACACAUGCAUUGAAGCUAGCUAAAUACAGUUUCAUUUUAAAGCUUGAUACAUCAAAUGCGCACUAUACAGCCACGCUUGAGUUCUGGCUUCUUUACUGUGAGACUACUCUGGUCCCGGUGAAUGUCCGGAGCGCUAUAGCUAUUCGUUAACACAUAAAGCUUAGUUCCAUUGUAUGCAUGUCUGACCAAGAACCACUGCCGUUUUCGACUGUACUUGUCAUAGCGUACGUUGCACUAUUAUUGUAUAGAUGCAGUAAGCGGUCAAUAUAAGUUCCGUUUAUGUAGUACGCCAGUACGUUUACACUGUAUUAAAAGCGUUGCAAUUUACCGUUGCACGUUGCAAGUAUACAUUUUGCAAAAAAACAAACAAAGAGACAAUCCUAGUCACCUCGAGUAUCGUAGCUAGACUAGUUACUUAGCUAUAUGCUGUACAUACUUGAUGCUAUAUGUUUCAAUAUAAAAUUAUAUUGUACAUUGUACAUUUAUAAUUAUUAUACAUACUAGAUCUACUGCUUUUCACAUGUACAUUGUAGUUGUGAGACGCCAACUGCCCAGAGGGAAACCACGCCAUUCGCAAAAAUAUGCCUAAUUCCCUCUCACAUCUAAAGUUCUUUCAAAAUGGUGGUCGUACUUUUUUGAAGGAUGAUGUUGAAAGUGACAUGUGUUGGAGAGAGCAUUAUACUGGACACCCUUGUAUGACCAGACCACUGUAAAGUAUCGACACAAUUGGAGACUAGUGAAUGCUAUCAGUGGAGAGGGGGGUGGAACAACCUUAUUAUUAUACCUUAUGAAUAAACGUUAGUGAUGUCUUAUUUCGCCCCAUAAUAACAUUGCAAUGCUGUGAAUAACCCCACCUCCUGUCAACAGACUAGUGAAUGCUAUCAGUGGAGAGGGGGGUGGAACAACCUUAUUUUGUUCAUGCUAUGACUGAUGUUAUGUACCUAAUCUAUACGCACUUUAAUUAUUCUUAUAUUUGGUUAUAAUUCUACUGGCUUUAUGUGACAUAUUUUUCUACUUCACGC